rnacentral:rRNA from 1 species
GACGAACGCUGGCGGCGUGCUUAACACAUGCAAGUCGAACGAUGAAGCCAGCUUGCUGGUGGAUUAGUGGCGAACGGGUGAGUAACACGUGGGUGAUCUGCCCCAAACUUUGGGAUAAGCCUGGGAAACUGGGUCUAAUACCGAAUAUGACCACGGGAUGCAUGUCCUGUGGUGGAAAGCUCCGGCGGUUUGGGAUGGACUCGCGGCCUAUCAGCUUGUUGGUGAGGUAAUGGCUCACCAAGGCGUCGACGGGUAGCCGGCCUGAGAGGGUGACCGGCCACACUGGGACUGAGACACGGCCCAGACUCCUACGGGAGGCAGCAGUGGGGAAUAUUGCACAAUGGGCGAAAGCCUGAUGCAGCAACGCCGCGUGCGGGAUGACGGCCUUCGGGUUGUAAACCGCUUUCAGGAGGGACGAAGCCACUCGGGUUAAUAGCCCAGAGGGUGACGGUACCUCCAGAAGAAGCCCCGGCUAACUACGUGC